rnacentral:rRNA from 1 species
AUGAGGAGAGUCAUGUUAGCAUUGUUCAUCGGUAUAUACUGGUUGGUGACUACAUUAAGAGAAAGUUCCAACCUCAAGCUUUUCCUCGGGCGCGUAGCCUUUGUUUCUGCUUGCAGCAUUUCUCAGGUUUCAAAAUCGUGCUUCGCUCUUUCCACCUGUUCUCUCGCCCUGUCCGCCUGUUCUGAUUGCCGCCGUUCCUCCUAUCCAGCCUUGCGCUUCUCUUUGGCAUCCUUUUCUUCCUCCAAACCGGCCUGUAAUAUGGUAUCUCAAUCUCAUAUAGGUUGCAAUGUUUCUAUUUGA